AAUAUUGAUGGUAGUAAUUGUACCGAUGCGGUGUCGUUUCCUCAGAUGGAGACAGGAAUGAAGCUGCCCCCUUCUCUCACUUAUCUUUCUAUCGAAAAUUUCAAAAAUGUAAGAAAGCUAUCCUCCAACGGCUUUCAAAACCUCACCUGUCUUCAAUCUUUGGUGAUCUACCAUUGCCCAAAGCUCAAAUCCAUUCCCCGAAAGGAAAUGCUUCCCUCGCUUUCGCAACUAGAAAUUUGGUACUGUCCAGUGCUAAAGAAAAGGUGCAAAAGGGAUAAAGGAAAACAAUGGUCCAACAUCGCCCACAUACCUAAAGUAAGAAUUGAUGGCAGAUUCAUCUACGAAUGAUGAAGAGGAAGAAUCAGAGCAUGUCAACUUAGGUAUUUUAAUCCUACAACUAAUUACUGUUUUAACUGAUUUUUUUUAUGUACAAAUAUAUCUACACAAACAUUGAAUUUUUUAGCAUUUAAUUGUGAAAAAUUUUAGCUUUUCUUUCCCCCAUAAAUAAAUCGAACAUGUAAUCUUGUGUUUCCUUGUUUAUUUGUUUUAGCAUAAAAAAUAGCAUUGAUAUGUUGCAAAGGAGAUAGUAAGGUAACUAAAUACUAAUCUGUUAACUUAUCCGAAUGGAGAUGGCAAGAAUUAUAUUCUGCAUCUAAAAUUUGAGUUCCAAAAAUAUUAAAAUGUGAUUCAAAUUCAUUUCAAGAGAAAUCGACAAGGUUGUGCAAUCCAUGGGAGAUUACUUCAAGUAAUAUGCUAACUCAUGAUCAGUGUAGGGAUCAGAUAGUUGAAACCUUCUCAUGUAAUUAGUUCCUCCUGAAUUGAUUUUGAGCAAUUCAAGUUUCAAGUUUAACCUCUAAUGGACUCUAACUUAGAAAACUAGCUAGGUCUUUCUUAAUGCUCCUUAUACAAAUGCUUUCUUGUGGAGAAUUCUGGUUUUUAAUGUGAAGGUUUUGGAACUUACAGAGUAUUGUUCCAUGGUUCAUAUGGAUUUCUUAAUCUGAUCUCACUUUCUUUAAGGAAAUUCAUUGCUUUCUUCAUUGUGAUUAAUUUGAUGCAGCUUGCCUACAACUUAUAUCUUGUUUCUUCAGUUUCAUAUUAUUUGGUUUGUUCUUGCAAUGAUCGUUUAUUUGAUUUUCUUUCUCACCUUCUCUGUAAUAUUAAAUUAGUUAUAAAAUUUCAACAUCCUGGAGAACAUUUAUUUUGUGCACGGUUGAGUCUGGAAAUUAUCUUCCUCUUUUGUAAAAGGGAAACAAUUUCCAACUUUUAAGACUCAUUUUCCAUUGACAAUCAAAUGACCAUCCUAAUUUCUACCAACCAAAUGUCCGAAGAAUGUAGAAGUCAAUUUCUGGAAACUAAUUUUUGUAAAACAAAUAGAAUCUUAGCUCAAUUCUGAAUUAAACCCACUAUUUUUAUGGCAGGUCCAGUAGACAUUAAGAAUAAGCUUCGUAGCUUUAGAGUAUGAGAAGGCUUGAAAUCCAUCUCUUUUCUUCUUAGUAAAGAGGAUUGCACCUUUCACUUCACUCUGCGCUUCCUUGGAACUACUACAGGUGAGAACAACUGCUAGAAUUUUUCUAAUUUCUAUCUCCUUUGUGCAUAUGCAUGAUAAGUGAAUUCAUUUCAUAUCAUCAAAUUAUGUUCAUUGGAUUUGAGCAGAAGCAAUAUAAUGACUGUAACCACUUCACAAGAUGUUCUACCAUUUUUUUUUUUUAUUAGUAAUGUUCUACCAAUUAAUGUUAUAUGUUUAUUGUUCUCUGCUUCCUUAUGCCAUGUAAGCAUCACAAGUAUUUCUAAAUCACGGUAUUAAGUUUUUUGCUACUCCACACUAACAACAUAAUGCUUUGGCCUUGUAUGGCAGGAUGAACAAAACUAAUGAUUUUGCAUCUAAUUGCAAUGCCCUCAGAAUCAAUGAUGGAAAGGUUUCCAAGCAGCAUGUGAGUGUAUCAUGUAGAAAGAAAACUAAGAUUUUGGGUUCAACUAUGAUUCUCAGUUGUAUGUGUGGGCACUAGUGGAUUUCUUGAUCCUUACUUCCCAAAAAUAUGAUAUCAUAGAUGGCAGUGAUGUUGAUUCAAGAACGUCCAAUUCCAAAGACUUGAUGGCUAGAGAGCUGCAUAAUGUAAGUAAUUGUUACUGAUUGCCAAAAGUGAUUUGAUGGAGGAAUGGGUGGCUAAGGGAAAAAUGGAUUAAAGAGAGAGCAUCUUAGUUUAAAUGAGCAACCAAGCAUAGUUUCCACAGACAGUUCACGUAUUGUUUCUUCUUAGCACAUUCAUGAUGAGCUAAUUUGAAUUCAUAAUGAAAUUAUUUAAUUGUUGCCUUCUAUGCUUAGACCUAUACAACCUUGGGAUGGAUAAAGGAUUAAAUAUAUGAAUGUCAAGAGUUUAAAAUGUCAUAGAGAAAGCAGCUCAACUUUCUUCCAUUUUCUUUUUCAUUGUUGAACUUUUAUGUUUCUGUUUUUCUACUUAAGGUUUUCUUUUACUGUCAAUAUCUGUCUCAGGUUUUAAUUAGUAUGCUUUGGUUUUACUUUCACAGUCAUUCUCCUUCUUGGUGGAAAAGAUGUGAAUUGAAGACUUAUGAUCCAAUGUUGCCAAGAAGAUAGUCAGGUAACUUAAUACUGAUAUGUUGACUUAUUAGAAUGGAUAUAGUAGGAGUUAUACUCUGCAUUUGAAAUUCAAGUUCCAAAAAGUUAAAUGUGAUUUCGAAUUCAUUUCAAGAGCAAUCUGUAAAGUUCCACCAGAAUUGAUCUUGACCUAUUCGAGUGUAAAGUUUAUCCUCUAACAGUUUCUAGCUUAUAAAACUAGUUGAAAGUUUAACUUAAAUUUUAAGAGCAAUUUGUAAAAUUCUCAUAUAAAGGCUUUCUUGUUGGAAAUUUUGGUUUUUAAUGUGAAUUUUUUGGAACUCACGGAGAGUUGUUCCAUGUGUCAUAUGGAUUACUUAUUCUGAUCUCACUCUUUUAAAGAAAAUUCAACGCUUUCUUUGUUGUGAUUAAUACAAUACAGCUUCCAUAUAACCUAUAGCUUGUUCCUUUGGUUUUAUAUUGUUUGUUUUGUUCUUGAAAUUAUCUUUCUCUGAUUUUCUAUCUCACCUUUCUACAAUAUGAAAAUCAGUUAUAAAAUUCCAAUUUUCUUCCCAGAGUGGAUUUCUGCACCGUGCAUGAGCCAUGCACUCUUUUUUAGCUACUAUUCAUAGAUGACGUUCCAUGGGUGGCGAUGAUUGUUUGGAUGCUAUCUUUUCUACAAGGGAGAAAUGAUGCUUCCCACCUUCUUUCACCUUACGAUGAGAGAAAUAAUGUUUGGAGUAGUUCUUACAAAAGGGCUUUCAAAAGAUCUGCAUACAGAGGUAUGGUGGCAGUUUUUACUUUUGAAGUAUAUUUAAAAAAAAAUAAUCUUUUUGCCCCGAAAAAAUUGAAAAUAACUUUUAGUGAAAACAAUGCUUCUGUCCCCAUUGAAAUUUAUCAAAAUUUGGAAUUUAGACCAUAUGAAUAAAAAUCUCUUAAUAGUAAUAAUGCAUAGUUAAGUGAACUUUUUCUUCACAAUGGAAAGCACUAUAUAUAUCACUGCUUCAUAUCACCUUUAACACUUGAAAUAAACCUAAACGAAUGUUUCAUAAAUUUAAAUUUUACAAUUAGCUAGAUAACUUUGCCCUCAUCAAGAUAAAAUUCUGCAUUUAUCCCUGUCCUGCCUUAAAAAUGGAGAAUACUUAAUUGCCAGUCAUUCAUCUCUUUUCAAAAGGAGUGCUUUAUGUUGAUAUUAAUGAUUCAUUUAUUAAUUAUGAAUAAAAAGAAGCAUGAAAGAUCUUAGAUAAUACUUCCUAUUUUCCUCCUAUUUACUGCACCAUGUCUAUUUAAAAUUCCUCUCAAUCAUUAUUAGCAGAAUUCUUUUUUACUUUCAAACAGUUAAUUAAAGUUUUAUAAUUACAAAGUGCUUCUCAUGUCAAACGUGCAGGAAUUUGAGUGCGAGUUACGUAAGAAAGAAUGAAAUUCAAACCUUUGGACGUAAUUCAUUGACAACAAUUAAUACUAAUGGUAAGUUUUCAAAAGUCAAUUUUUGAAUGCAUGCUUGAUAGAAUAAAGCCUUCCUCCUAAUUAUCAUGAAUGUAAUUUUCACAAUUCUCUGUUUCUUUAUCUUUAAUUCUAAGCUUAGAUACUUUGAUUACCAAUUUUCAAAUAAUUUGGUGGAGCGAUGAAGAUGAUCCCAAUGCAUUAUGAAUUUGGAAGCCAGGUAACUAUAUACUAAUUUUCAUGUUUCACAAAAUAUCAAGUAAAAUAGAAGCAUCAUAAUAAUGGUCUUGUAUUCAAUAUUCAAAUUCUAAAAUUCAACAUUUCAUUGAACUAAACACUAAGGUAGUCAUGCCAUGGAUUUUGAUAAAUCUGGAGUAUUGUGGCAACCUUGGUAUAUAUUAAGAAUAAGAUUUUGAGCAUUAGAGAAUCAGCAAGCCUGAAAUCCGUCUCUUUUCUUCUUAAUGCAAAGGCUGGUGCUUUGACUUGACUCUACACUUCCUUCCAAGUAAUACAGGUGAGAACAACUACUAAAAGUUUUAUGAAUUCUAUCUCCUUUGUGCCUAUUCAUAAUUAGUGCCUUCAUUUCAUAUCACCAAAUUAUGUUAUUUGGCUCUUCAGGAAGUCUUUGUUUCUGUCAUCAUUCAUUGGAUGUGAGCAGAAGCAGCAUAAUGACUGUAGCCACUCUACAAGAUGUUCUACCAAUUAAUGUUAGAUGUUUGUAGUUCCUUGCUUGCUUAUGCCAUGUAAGCAUCACAAGUAUAUGAGAAUUACUAUAUUAAGUUUUUUGCUACUCAACACUAACAACAGAAUACUUUGGCCUUUGUAUGACAGGGAUGAACAAAACUUAUGAUUUUGUAUCUCAUUCCAAUGCCCUCAAAAUCAACGUUGGAAAGGUAGAGUAAAGUAAUAACUGACUGCCAAAAGUGAUUUGAUGGAGAAUUGUGUGGCUAAGGGAAAAAUGGAUGAGAAAGUGACCACCUUAAUUUAAAUGAACAAUGAGGCAUAGUUAUGGUGUUUUAACGACUUGAUGUGCCUCCAGUCUCCACAGACAGUUCAUACUUGGUGAGAUUGUUUCUUCUUAGCAUGUUUUAUAAGGUGAUUAUUGAUGUUAGAAAUUUAGCUUUUUAUUGAUAACUUCACGUCAUAUCGUUUACUUGUACUAGAGAAGACUUUUGUAAUCCUAUUAUUUUGAGUAGUGGAAGAAUUUGAACGGACUAUGGUCCCAUGGUUUUUCCCCUUACCAUGGGGUUUUCCACGUAAAAUCUGGUGUCUCGCUCUUGUGGGCUGUUGAUUAUUUCAUUUUUUUACAUUAAUAACCAAUUAUGAAUUACUACUUCAAUUAUCAUACAAUGUAUUUAACUUUUAUAAAGAGGGAUAAAAAUUUGGAGUUCUGGUUGUCCGGUUGUAAUGGUAGACUGUAAGGACAAUGCUUAGUGCUACCUUUUUAUCUUGGUUCUACUGAUUAACCUUGAGGAGUGAUGUCAAAGGAAUAUAUUCAAUAUGGUGGGCGUGAAGUUCUAUGAAGAGAAUUGAACAAAUGCAUUUCCACCAUUAUAGAUUCUUCAAUGCCAAGAUAUGCCAGAGUUGGAGUGGAAUUCUUACCAAGUUGAUGAGCAAAACGGGAUCUUCACUUGCCUCCAUGAUCUUUCUGUCAAGAAAUGCCCCAAAGUAUUGAGAAGUCUACCAAGUUGUCUUCCUUGCUUGGAAAAACUUGUGAUUUAUGAUAAUUGGUAAUUUUAAUUCCAAACCCUUCAAGGCUAUGUGAAUUAGAAAUUGUUGGGUGCAAAGAAGUGUGACAUGAGAGUUCUCUUUAUCUUUGCUCAUUCAAAAAAAAAGUCUCUCGAACACCCCAAAGUUUACUUAUGAUGUUAGGCUUAAUAAAAAUUAAAUUUCUUCGAAUUGGUGGUUGUCGGAGAGCUUACUUAUUUGAUGCAGAACAUCGGGGGCUGGUUAGCUUCUGCAGGUUUAGGCUUCAGCAUGUCAAGAUAUGGAGUUGCUCCAAGUUGGCCUAUCUUUAAUCAAGUGGCCGCUUACUCGUGGGGCUUACACACCUGCGGAUUGACCUUUGCCAAAUGCUGGAAUCUUUUGCACAAUUAGUUCACAGUAACACUUCUUUUGAAUUCAUUUUCAUCGGUAGGUGUGGAAAGAUCGACUACCUACCUGAUCAUGACUGCUAUUGCUAUCUGGAAGAAUAGGUACCAUUGUUUCAUUUCCUUUAUUUGGCACAAGACUUUCCACUGCCAUUCCAACAAAACCUAUGCAUUAUUGCCUACUGCCAACAGUUUCCAUUGCAAAAUCUGUAAUCGUAUUGAUACAAGGGGUUGCCUCCAUGUGACAAUCAUUAAUUUAACAAUUUCACUGAAUGACAAAAUUAUGAUCACCACAUCAACUAAAUUCAAGGUUCAACAUAAGUCAAAAGAUGUAAAAUAUAAAUAGUAGUAAGAAAUGGUAUAUAAAAGUUACUUUAGUAAACAGAAAUUUCUUGACAACUUAAUCUUAAUUUGUAAAUAACCCGUGACAUGAUACAGCCUAGGUGCAUAUAAAUAACUCGUGACAUGGUACAAAAAUUUUUUGUUUUUUUAUUUCUGUUUGUCGAUCGAAAAUCAACCCAAUAUGAAAAUAAAAGACAAUAAGAUAAAAUAACUGAAAGCCCGUGACAAAAACUUGGACUUAUCCCAAAUACAAAGCUACAAAAAAAUUUGACUUAGAGUUGGAUGUCAUCUAUUGUGUCCCCCAUGUCCCAAUUCCCCACUCUUUCCCAAAAGUUACUAAGCCAACGCAACCAAAAAGCCUAGGUGCAGAGCUCAUGGGCCACUCCCAGCCUUGAAUUGGGCACAUCGAAAAGUACUCUAUGGUUCUGUUGCUGCGUAUUAACUAUCACAUUCAACACUGAAUUCACAUUCUUUGGUGCGGAUGCCAUGGCCAAGCACGUGAUGCUGCUUGCUGUGCUAUGGAUUAGUAGGUUAUCGCGUGGCAGUGUCAUGUUCAUGCCUGCAAGCAUGAACGUUAUCGUCGGUGCCACAAUAGGGACGGUGUAACAUGUGUUGAACUCACAGAGCAGCCGAGGGAUGUCCCGUUGGCCACCUUGACUCGCCUCUGGAACUUGUCUCGGAUGGCUCUAUAGGCCGGUGCUACUAUCCGUGUAAAGAUGGCACCUAAUGUUGAAUAGCAAAGUUUAGUGACUUUUCAAUGACAAGAUAAAAUACAUUAAGGGCAGAUUUUGAAAUGAAGCUCUUUGAGUUAACAUAAACUUUAACAUAUUAUCAAACUUUUUACAAAAAAAUGAAAUUUUUUAUUUUCAUUUAUUUAGAGAUAUUAAUAUAUAUUUGCUUUUGUAUAAUAUUUUGUAAAACAAUAUUAUUAAUACUAGACCACUAUGGUUAUUUUGAAAAUAUCCAACAUAGAAUUGCCUCAAUGUAGUCGUGACUAUCUCUAAAAAGUUGUCUUUAAAUUAUUUUAUUUAUUUACAAUUUUUAUUUUGAAAAGCAAGAUGUAUAGAUUUCUUCCAUAAAAGGAAAUGAAGGAGCAGAGGUAAACAAAAAAUACCACUUGGCUCCACUGGCGAAGGGUAGUUAAGUCCGUCCCCCAAGUUUUUUAAAAUAUUUUAUCCAUUAUAUAUAUUAUUUAAUCAAAGAUGGAAGAUGGUAUAUUUAUCGAGAUCGUGGUCCUCUAAAAAUUUUAAUAUUUUAAUUCCCUUUAAAAUAAUUUUUUAUUCAAUAAUUAAUAUAAAUAAAAAAUAAUAAAAUGACGUUAUAAAUCUUACUCAAUUUUAUUUCUCUACAUAUCUUUCUCUCUCCUCUUUCUCCCUCUUUCUUUUUAUUUUUUUUCUCUUUUGUUUUUUUAUUUAUAUAUUUUUAAAAAGCAAUCAAUGAAAUUUCAUUCUUUAAUGUAUGUAUACAAAAGCUACCUCAUUUUGGUAGUAUUACAACAAAAACAUAUAGGACAUGUCCCUAAUACGAGAUAAGUUACGUAUAAUGAAACAUAACACACUUAAAACCUAGCAGUCUACUACCAUGAACAACCAAAGUUCGGAGGCAUUUCCUUUAGAAACACAUGGCUCCUGCAUAAUCUCCAUAUAGAGCUUUCUGGUUUACAAAAAAUCUCAACAAGCAUUGGGUGUUGUCCUUACUAGGCAAACUUCACUUUAACUAUACAUCAAUAUUAAAAGGAAAAUUAGUUCAAAUCAGCAACAAAAUGCAUAAAUACGAGUCUUAGUGGGUUGCACAUGUUAUGAAGUUGGAGCCAACAAACAAUAUCUUUUUAUUUUUACUUUACUCUCUUUUUUGUAAUUUACCACUAAAAUAUACUUCAUUUUUUAAACGUUGGGCACAAUUUUUUUAAAAGACUAUUAUAAAUUUUUUUUUUAUUUACAUGUUAUAGAAAAUUAUUAUCUAUUAUGAAUAUUUUGAUUGUUGGUUGACUUUUUUUUUCUUUUAAUUGAGGGAGGAGGGAUUUAAACUCUGCUCUUUAGACAAGGGGAUCAUACACCAACCAAUGAGCCAAAUGUUCGAACGAGUGCUGAUUAUUGAUUAAAUGUAAUAUAUUAAUUUUAAAAAUUUUUAACCCUUAAUCCUCUUCAUCUUUGAUCUUCCACAAAAGUUGAAUAGCGUUGUCCUGCUUGGCUCUACUGUAUACACAACCAACCCUACUAUUGUUGCGAGCAGGUAAAAAAUAUACAAAAGUUUUUGUACAAAAAUAUUGCCUGCAUUACAGUCGGCACUACCCAAAAGAAAAAGAAAAAGCUCACAACCAACUUACAGACAGCUACAAGAAGAAAGAAGAAGCAGCAUAAAUGUUACUUACAGUUUAUUUUUUAACCAUGCUAUAUUUUAUUAAAAUAACCAUGAAAUCAAUUUAUUCAGUAAAUAGAUAAAUACAUAAAUAACUAAAUAAGUAAAUAAAACAUUACUUUAUCAGUUUUAAAUAUGUGAAUAUAUUGUUAUAUUAAUUUCAAUAAAAUAUUAUAAUGAUUUUUACUAAUUUUCAUUAAUUUUAUUAAUUUUGUAAAUAUAAAAUAUUAUUAUAAAAUUAUAUUAUAUACCAAUUUAUAUCUAAUUAUCUUAAUGAUCAUUUUCCAUCUCAUGACACCCAUUAUGCACCAUUGCUUGUUGUCAAAGACAAGUCACAUCGUCGGUUUUAAUCUUAUUGGUGCAACUCCCAAUCUCAUCGUAAUGCUAUCAACCUAACCAUAUCUGUUUCUAUUUUCAUUACUAUCAAUGUUAUUCCUAUCGAUGAAAUUUUUGUUAAGUUUACAAUUUUAGUAAAAAAAUCUUAUUUUCCUUCGCUAAAUAUCAGUAGGAUAUCUAUAUUAGUAAUUUUAUGAAAUCACUACCUUGCCAACAAAAGAUCCUUAUUUACUCAAUUCUUAUCCACCAAUAACGUUUAUUUAUCAUAUAAACUUUUUUUUUGUACAAAAUUACAUGUAAAAGUAAAAUAUUUUUAAUCACAAUCAAGUUCUUAAAUUAUAAUCACAACCAGCCUAAUGAAAUUUAGCUUGCAACAAAUUGAGAAUUAAGAAGAAAGAAGUAAGGAUGGAUAAAUGAAAAAUCUUCAAUGGAGAGAAUCAAAUACAUUAGCAUUUACCCUUUAUACAAUCCAGUAGCUAGAAGCCCCCAUUUUCUUUUAUUUUAAUUUGUUAUCUCUUAAACAAUUCUUUUUAUCAGCACACAACGAGCGAAACACGAUUAAUAGAGUUGAAUCAUAAAAUUCACAGCAAAACAUUUAAAUAUUUGAUUCAAUAAUAUUUAUAUUUUUUCCCGAAUUCAGAUUGCAUUCUCCAAUUAAAAGUAUAGACUUCACAUAGAAGACUAAAAUCAAAUGCAAAAGUACUCAGUGCCCACGGUUGUACAGUCCAGGAUUUUCACCUUUCUUGGGAGGUUUAUUUUGGUUCGGGAGACAGUCAGUGUAACGUAGCCUGUCGCAAAUAACCGGGUUGUUAGGGGCAGAAGUGCCUCCAGUCCCAGUGCCAGAGCUACCAAGCACGCUACCAAUGUGGGAGUCGAACAAGAACUCCAACUCCAAGUUAUUGUGAGCAACAGGGGGGAAGAUGGAACUCCUCCAUUGAAGUAGCGGUUGCUCCAUGUUGGGUUGCAUGAAGAAGAACCAUUAGAGUGAUUAGGAUUCCUAGAGACAAAUCCUUUCCCACUACUCUAAUAACUUCCAUUUUUCUCUCUUUCUUUUUUCCUGCUCAGCCGACUCUUAGUAAAUAGCUACUACUCUCCAUCAAUCCAAGGGAAUUUCCUGUCUUAUUUAUAGAGAAAAAAGAAAAAGUUGAGGUGAACAUUAGAUGUCCAUAUACAAUUUGGAUAACACAUUUGCUGUUUUUUUUUUAAAAACAAUUAUUAUGAAUAGUAACACUUAUUAAUUUCUAAUGCUUUUUAAAAGCAUUUCUUGAGUACUAAAAAUAAAGUUAGUGAUCCCUUUGUUAAUAUUUUUUUUAACUUACCAUUGUUGUAUUCAACAGGGUCCAUAUAUAUUUGGAUUUGAAUGAGAAUCCCAUGUGAAUACACAAAAAUUCAAACCGAAUUAGACCCUGAAAGAACGACUUUCACAUGGUUGCAUGCACAAGUGUCUUUUGCUAAAGCUGACAAAAUCUCAUUCGUAAAUCUGCCUUUCUUCAGCACUGAAAACAAAAUUUAAGUUUUCACAAAAAUGAUGUAUAGACAUUUAAUUUGAGAUGAAAGAAUAUUAAUAGUGACUAUUAGGAGCAAGGAUAUGUUUUCCGCAUAUAAUGAACAUAGCAUAAUCACCUUGGGCACCCAUUUUUCCAUUAGAACCAACUCCUUACAGGUAAAGAGACUUCAUCCACAGGAAUAAGCCCAAUUGCAGUAGAAUGCAUAAUAUGUACUCCCAAAAUCUGUAUAUCAAACAAUAGAAACGAUAGCUGUUUGUUUCAGUCAAUUGAUUGUUCUAUAAAUUAAUCUCUUCAGUCAAAAGAAUUAGAUAAAUGAAUAACUUGUUCUCAAAUGAAUUAGGUAAAGAAUUACGUAAAGAAAGUGAUAGAGGAGGUUGGCUGAUGGACAGUACCAUGGAUUUCCUAUAGACCCUUUGCCAUUCAAGACUCUCGGUAAGGGAUUAUGUGGCUUCCCUUGAAGAAUAAUGAGCCGAAAUUUAACGUGGAUGGAUUUGUUAAAGGUAAAUCAGGCCCAGCUAGAUGGGGAGGAGUCCUCGGACAGCAGUAGAAAUGUCAUUGGCCUUUUAUUUUGGCCCCCUGGGUGAUAUAGACUCGAAUAGUGUGGAGACACUGGCAAUCAAAGACGCCUUACAGUUUUAAGGCUUUCAUUGAAAAAAAUUAGCAGUUAAGUACUCAAGGAUCUGUCGUUUGUCCAAGCUUAGUGACAGCCUUACAAAACCUACAAGAGGAAAAAUUUUUAAUUUCAUUGAACUUGAUAUUGUGUUUUCAAUUCUAUUAUUUUUUGACAAACAAUACAAAAAAUUAACAACAUUAUUUAUUAUUUGUAUUUAUGAAAUAUUUUAUUGAAUAUUUCAAUUUUGUUGAUUUUUAUAAAUUUUAUCAAUUUUUGUUAAAAAAUCAACAAAAUUAAACAUAUAGUAACAAAAUUCAACAUAACCUAAUAUAAUAACAAAUUUGAUCAUACUCCCACAGAAGCACAAGUAAUGAAAUGAAAUUUAUCAUAUAAAUUUUGUUUACCAACAUACAUGUAAAGAUAAAAAUUAUAUUCACAAUCAUGUAUUACAUUUCAUAUAAUUACAAAUUAAUAAAAUAAAUCAAAUAGACAAAUCAACCAACAAACUAGUAUAAAUCAGAUAUAUUCAAUAUAAAAUUGUAUUAUACCUGCUAAUGAUGAGAUUUGAACUUGAAAUAUCAACAGUCUAAUUAAGGUCUCGUAGUUGUCAUUAAGUUAAUGUCUCAUUAUUUCAGCUAAGCAAAGCAAUGAAUAUUUAGUUCUCUAUCAUUCUCCAGUCACAACUUCACCAAUGCGAUAGCCUGUAUAAGCACCAUUUCCAUCCUCAAGUAUUCUAUGAGAUGUGUCCCUGACUCAUAACGAGAACCAUGCCAAUGCCCAUGUUAAAACUCCAUCUCAUCUUAGUAUCUUCAAUUUUUCCAGCCUGUUGGUAUCCAUUAGAACACAGCUGGCAGUUCCCAAGAAUCCUUAUAGAGAGAAGCACCAUGGUCUUUUGGAAACACUCGAGGUAUAUUGUCUGUGAAAGCCACCACCUGUUCUAUGAUAUAUGCUAUUCUCUUUUCCCCUCCUUUGCUAAUUAAAUCUAGCAUCAGCUUAACAUCAGUAAUAAAAAAUUUCAAGACUUCUGAUUACCUUCAGUUUAGGUGUGUGGAUCAUAUUGAUAGGGGUUGCCUCCAUGUGACAAAUCAUUAAUCUAACAAUUUAAACAAUUACAAAAUUAUGAUCGCCACAUCAACCAAAUUCAAAGUUCAACAUAGAUCGAAGGAUGUAAAAUAUAUAAAUAGUAGUAGGAAAACGUACAUAAAAAUUUCUUGACAACUUAGUCUUAAUUUGCAAAUGAUGCGUAACAUGGUACAACCUAAUAAACUAAUCAUCAAUCCAAUAUGAGAAAAGAAGACAUAAGACCAGAUAAUAGAAAACCCGUGACAUAGACUUAGAUUUACCCCAAAUACAAAACUACAAAAAUGAAAAAUUGACUUAGAUUUGGAAGUCAUGUAUUCUGUCCCUCAUGUCCCAAUUCCCCACUCUUUCCCAAAAGUUACUAGGAGAAUGCAACCAAAAAGUGAAGUUGCAAAGCUCAGGGACCACUCCCAGCCUCGAAUUAGGGACAUCGAAAAGUACCCUAUGGUUCUGCUGCUGCAUAUUGGUUAUCAUAUUCAAUACUGAAUUCACAUUAUCUGGCACAGAUGCCAUGGCCAAGCAUGUGAUGCUGCCUACCGUGCUGUGGCAGUGUCACGUUCAUGCCCGCAAAACAUGAAUGUUAUCGUCGGUGCCACGAUAAGGAGGUUGUACUUGAAUUCUUAUCUUUUGGCUUUACUUUCUAAAAAAGCAGCAUUCUCUUUAUCAUAUUCUUUGAAGACUUUUGACUAAGGAUAGCAAAAAGACAAUACAUCUCUCUUUCUUACUAUAGUAAGUUGAUAAUAAGUUUGUACGAUUUCGUUGAAUUUUCUACAUAUUUUAUCAUGACUCUAUGCUUUGCAAAGAGAGUAUUAAUUAAGCCUUAAAAGCAAAGAAAUGAAUAUUUAUUUUCAUUUUCAAAUGCUGGAUUCCAUUGCAUAUUCAGUUCACAAUAACAAUUGCCUUGAAUUCAUUUUCAUUGGCAGGAGUGGGAAGAUUAUGUUCCUGAUCAUGACUGGUAUUGCUAUCUAGAAAAAUAGGUACCAUUGUUUCAUUUCCUUAAUUAGGCACAAGACUCUUUCCACUGCCACAAAACCUAUGAUUAUUACCAGGCGCCAACCGUUUCCAUUGCAAAAUCUUUAAUUAUAUUGAUAGGGGUUGCCUCCAUGCAACAAACAUUAAUCUAACAAUUUAACCAAUAAUAAAAUUAUGAUCACCAGUACAUCAACCAAAUUCAAGGUUCAAUGCCAACCUCGAAUUGUGACGUAGAUUAUGUUAGCAGAUGACAAGUAAAUUUAGUGCUUUUCUUAUGUAGUUAGGAGUCCUAUCAGAAAUUAUAGGUAUAAUAAAAUUUACUUUUUAUUUUAAUUUACUUGGACGAUAAGUAAGCAUAGGUUUAGGAAUUAAGUUUUCUUGCACUUUAAGGAAGUCUAGGGUAUAAUAUUAUUUUAUUUAAAUUUGUUUAUUUGCAUUCCAAGUUUAGGUCAAGUAGGAUUAGGUUAUUAUAAAUAGCACCUUUAGACUUAGUUAUUAGAUAAUUUUUUUUGAAUUAUUAAAUAACAUUAUAUUUUUUCUCAAAUUUUGAGUGUAAGUUUCUAUGUUUGAAACUUGGUUAUCAACUAUAAAGACUCUAUCCAGUGUUAGUCUUUGUUUUCACGUUAACUUACUAUAGCAAAUUGUGCACAUCAAAAAGUACCUUAUGGUUUUAUUGCUAUAUAUUGGCUAUCACAUUUAGCACUGAAUUCACAUUCUCUGUUGCGGAUGCCAUGGCCAAGCAUGGGACGCAGCUUAACAAAGUUUAGUGACUUUUCAAUCACAUAGUAUAUUGGAUGUUGUUUAAGGGAAAAUUUUGAAAUGGAGUUCUUUAAGUAAAGUUCUUUGAAUCUCCAACUUAAAAUAAUUAAAAAUUAAUUAUAGUUUAACCCCAAACUCCCUAACCUCCAACCGACGACAUUUUUUUUUGUUGUUUGUUUUUUUUCUUUUUCUUUGUGGUUGUUCUCGGUUGCUAGAGGAUCUAGGGUAUUUUCUUUGGUUUUUGUUGUGGCUAGGUAUUUUUUGGUUGCUGGUUCUUGCUAGGGAUUUUAGGGUUUUCGAUUGCUUCGUCCCUUUCCUUGUAGCUACAGUGUUCCUUUAUAUAUCGGCUCUCAAUCGGGUGUAUCGUCUCCACUACCUUGCCAGAUGCGAGUUUUUGACGUUUGGCACUGAUGGUGGUGCCUAACAAGGUGCGUCCGCACCCUGCCAGACGUACGUCUUUCUCUUUUUUUUUUCUUUUUUCAUUUUAUUUCAUCAUUUUUUGUUUCAUUUUCAUUUUUCAUUUUUUCAUUCAUUUUUUUAUUUUGUUUUUUUUGUAUCUUAUUUGUUGUUUUUUUUUCUUAUUAUUUAUUUUUUUGUCUGUCUAAGUAAUUACCUAUAAAAUUAAAGUGUCUACAGAAGGGAGCAGGAAAUCUCUUUGUGAGAGAACACAAGCCAUAGAACAAAGAACUCAAAAGACAGAGGAUAUUGGCCAUAUAUGCCUCCCUUAUGAACUGGGCAUAUUUUAGCAAUAACCCCUGAAAUGAAGCCAAUAUCGGGCAUUCAAAAGGAGCUUCCCUGCCUCAAAAGAACAAAAGCAUCACCAAGAAUAGUCCACCCAGUCCUAGUACACUACUAGUUAGUAGCUGAGCAAAAAAAAAAAAAAAAAAAAAAGUACUAGUAGUUAGUAGUAAAACUACUAGUAACGAGUAAUGUCCUCAUUAUUUAAUAUGGUUUAUCAAUUCUUCAACAAUUCAGUUUUAUCGAUUUUUUUAUUUUCUAUUUUUUAUCUUCUAAUAUCAACUUAAAUGUAAAAUUGUGAUGCAUCUUUUGAUGAUUGAGUUAGUGGAUUGUUGAAGACUAUACUUGGAUCAUAUUGAUAGAAAAAAAAAAGUAAAUUUGACUUAAAAUUAAUAUGAAAUAUAGAAAAAAUAAUAAGACUGGUAUAAAUAUUCAAAAAAGAAAAGUUGACAUAAUUUUGUAAUGAUUUUAAAAAAGUGGAUAUUCAAUUUGAAAUAGAAAAAGUAUAUAUUAUUACAUCAAUUAUUAGUUUAAUAAUUUAUUUUCACUCAAUAAGUAGAUAAAAUUUGAAGUCAAGAUGAUAUUUAUAUUGCAUCGAUCAAGAACACUUAUUGUUUGUUACAUAUAUACAUAUGUUUAAUUGAAAUUCUUUUCUACACAUCAUUGAAACAAUAUUUGGCCACUUGCAAUUAAUUUAAAAUUUAGAAAUGUUAUUUAUUUAUUUCUCAGUAUCAUGUCUACCUUAAAUAUGUUAACUCAUCACAAUACUUUUUACAAUCAUACCAAUCAUUUUAAAUUACAUUUCUACACAUUAAUUACAUUUUAAAUUCAACAAUAUGAUGUUAGUCACGUUUCUUGGUUCUUUCCUACUAUCGAUUAUUUGUUGAAUAGUCCAUCCGGAUAUCUUGAAUCUCAUUAUUUUUUUUCGAAAUAAUAAUUAUAAGUAAAAGAAUUUCAAUUACAAUCAACAUGUAUCACAUUCCAUCUGUGAAAAGAAUUAAUAAAUGCACCAACAUAUUAACUUAAAAGUUUUAAUUUUUUUUUUNNNNNNNNNNNNNNNNNNNNNNNNNNNNNNNNNNNNNNNNNNNNNNNNNNNNNNNNNNNNNNNNNNNNNNNNNNNNNNNNNNNNNNNNNNNNNNNNNNNNNNNNNNNNNNNNNNNNNNNNNNNNNNNNNNNNNNNNNNNNNNNNNNNNNNNNNNNNNNNNNNNNNNNNNNNNNNNNNNNNNNNNNNNNNNNNNNNNNNNNNNNNNNNNNNNNNNNNNNNNNNNNNNNNNNNNNNNNNNNNNNNNNNNNNNNNNNNNNNNNNNNNNNNNNNNNNNNNNNNNNNNNNNNNNNNNNNNNNNNNNNNNNNNNNNNNNNNNNNNNNNNNNNNNNNNNNNNNNNNNNNNNNNNNNNNNNNNNNNNNNNNNNNNNNNNNNNNNNNNNNNNNNNNNNNNNNNNNNNNNNNNNNNNNNNNNNNNNNNNNNNNNNNNNNNNNNNNNNNNNNNNNNNNNNNNNNNNNNNNNNNNNNNNNNNNNNNNNNNNNNNNNNNNNNNNNNNNNNNNNNNNNNNNNNNNNNNNNNNNNNNNNNNNNNNNNNNNNNNNNNNNNNNNNNNNNNNNNNNNNNNNNNNNNNNNNNNNNNNNNNNNNNNNNNNNNNNNNNNNNNNNNNNNNNNNNNNNNNNNNNNNNNNNNNNNNNNNNNNNNNNNNNNNNNAAAUAUAAUUAAAAUUAUAAAGACUUAAUUGAUAUUUUUUAUACAUACAAGUAAUAAUGAUAAAUAAAAAUAAUUUUUUUGGAUUUUUUUAUUGUUAUGUAAAUAAAAUUAAUUAUGAUCUUCUAUUUAUGAAUAAUUAAUUUUACACUUUUAAAUAUCUUUAUUUUAUAUGUAAUUAAUAUUUAAAAAUAGAUAAAAAAUAUUCAAAUAAAUAAAAAAGACGAGAUGGGUAAAAAAGCAUGUAGGACCAUUCAAUAAAUUUGGAGAGCAACGUACAGCUACUGCCCUUUACCAACCCCACUUCAACAGUAUGUUGGUCUGAGUUUCUUGGUUGUUUCCUGCGAUCCACACAUCUUGACUUGACGUCAACUCCAAAACAAUAUUCUUUUCUAAUUAAAUUCCAAGUAAAAUUUUAAUUAUAGUCAAAUAAUUUUCACAUAUCACAUAUUACAUCCAUAAAAAUAUUAAUAAGCAAGCCAAUUAAUAAGUAUAAAAUUUUUAGUUUAAUACAUUAUGCAUCUAAAUGUUUAAUUUAAUAGUAAUGCAUGUCUCUGUUAUGAAAGAGCAGAGUUUAAUUUUUUUUUUGGUAUUAUUGAUAUGAAACAAGAUUUAUCUAAUUUGUAAAUAAAAAUUUUAAUUAUGUUGAAUGAUUUUCAUUAAUUUUUUAAUAAAUUUAUAUUAUAAAAUCAGUUAUAUAGAAUUGAAAAGUUAAUUUUCUUCUUAUAUGUAAUUAUUAUUUGAAAAUAAAUAUUCACACGCGAGAAUAAAUAACAACAAGUGUAAAUAUUAUAUUAUUGGAAAGGGUUGAUGGGAAUGCACAAAAAACUUUCCAACCAAAUUAGGCCCAAAGAAAAGCACAACGCUUGACAUGACUUGACUUGCUCAGCUUGUCUAGAAACUGGUAACUCUUCACAACCACAUUAAUUCCCUAUGAUUUUUUCUGUAAUUCGUAUCAUCACCCAACCUCAAAAAUCUAGCAACCGAAUUAGAUCCAGAAACAGUUUCCACAAUCCAUUUUUCUUCUAGUCCAAUAUCCUUCUCUUGGAUUUUCUCUCUACUUCAAGUCUCUUGAUUCCUUUCUCAAACAUAUUGACCAUGGCUUUCGUUGCAGAGGCUGCUCUCUCUGCUUCCUUUGACUUGUUGUUGGCCAAGAUUUCCUCUUCCGACUUCAACUUUGUCACUGAGAAGCGGGUUCGCGAGGAGAUUGAGAACUGGAAAAAGACAUUGGAGAUCAUCCACGCAGUCCUUGCUGAUGCAGAGGAGAAGAAAAUGAAGAACAAGGCUGUGAAGAUUUGGCUGGCUGACCUCCAAGACUUGGCUUAUGACGUCGAUGACAUCUUGGACGAGUUUGCCACUGAAGCUUUGGGGCGUAAGUUGAUGAAAGCACAUCGGGCCAGCACUAGUAAGGCACAAAAAUAUCUUACUAGUUUAAAUCCACGUUCCAUCAUGUUUAACUCUAAGAUGAUGUCCAAGAUCAAAGAGAUUACAGGAAGGUUGGAAGAUUUAGCAACAAGAAAGAUUAACCUGCAACUAGAGAAAUAUGUUGGAAGGCCCAUGACAAUACCAAAAAGCAAGCCAAGCACUUCUCUGGUGAAUGAAGCUACUGUACAAGGCAGAGACAAAGACAAGAAGGCAAUAAUUGAUCUGCUUUUGAGGAAGGAUGGCAAUGAUGCUGGAGUUUCUGUGAUUCCCAUCACCGGCAUGGGAGGGAUAGGCAAGACAACCCUUGCUCAGCUUGUCUACAAUGACAGUAGCAUAGGAGAUUAUUUUGAUCUCAAAGCAUGGGUAUGUGUUUCUAAUGAAUUUGAUGUUAUUAAGAUAACGAAAACAAUUCUAGAAUCGGUCACUUUCCAGUAUUGUGAUAUACAUGACUUGAAUUUACUUCAAGUCAAACUAAAGGAAAAGCUAUCGAGCAAGAAAUUCUUGCUUGUUUUGGAUGAUGUUUGGAAUGAGAAUUAUGAUGAUUGGACAAAGCUUCGAUCUCCUUUUGAUGCCGGGAUUACUGGAAGCAAAAUAAUCGUAACAACACGUAAUUCUAAUGUUUCAUCAAUUAUGAGAACUGUUGCAGACCACUCAUUGCAAAUUUUAUCAGAUAAUGAUUCUCUCUGUAUGCUUGCUCAUCAUGCAUUAGAAAGAGGGGAUUUUACUGGGCAUCUAGACCUGAAAGAGAUCGGCAUGGAGAUUGUGAAGAAAUGUGGUGGCUUGCCUUUGGCCAUUAAAACUAUCGGAGGACUAUUGCGCACUAAGGUGAAUCAUGAUGCAUGGAACUACAUAUUAAAGAGUGAUAUUUGGAAUCUACCUGAAGAGAAAAGUGACAUAACUCCAGCUUUAUGGUUGAGUUACUAUUAUCUUCCUUCGCAAUUAAAGCAGUGUUUUGCAUAUUGCUCUCUAGUCCCUAAAGAUUAUGAAUUUAAAGAGGAGGAAAUAGUCUUGUUAUGGAUGGCAGAAGGUUUUCUAAAUGGAGCAAACACUAAAAGGAAUAUUCAAGAUUUGGGUAGCAAGUAUUUUGAAGAACUAGUAUCAAGGUCAUUUUUUCAAGCAUCUAACAAGAAUGAAUCCCAAUUUGUAAUGCAUGACCUAAUUAAUGAUCUAGCUCAGUUCGUUGCAGGAGAAGUAUAUUUUAAAAGGGAAAGGCAUGAUGAUAUGAACGGUCCAAUUAAUCGCACUCGCCAUUCCUCUUAUAUCAUUGGUAGUUAUGACGGAAUCCAAAAGUUUGAGACCUUUUUUGAAGCAAAGUCUCUACGAACCUACCUGCCCUUUAAGAUGAUGCAGCAAUGGAGAUGCUACUUGAGCAAUAACGUUCUCAAUGAUUUACUGCCGGCAUUAAAAUGCUUAAGGGUGCUCUCUUUGAAAAGGUACUACAUCACAGAAAUUCCUUCUUCUAUUGGAAAUUUGAAGCAUUUACGCUAUCUAAAUUUCUCUUAUACCAAAAUAAAAAGUCUCCCUGAUUCAAUAUGUAGUCUUUAUAAUUUGGAGACUCUUUUGUUGAGGUAUUGUGAGAAUUUUGAAAAACUACCCCUAAAAAUAGGGAUUUUAGACAACUUAUGUCAUCUUGAUAUGACUGAUGCAAAUUUAAUAAAGGAAAUGCCAAGUGGAAUUGGAAAAUUAACAAAUCUUCAAGUGUUGUCUAAUUUUAUUGUGGGUCAAGGUGAUGGAUUGAAUAUAAGAGAGAUGCAGAAUUUGUUAAAUCUCAAAGGUCAGCUUUGUAUUUCUGAAUUGCAUAAUGUGGAUGAAGCUCAACAUGCAUGGGAAGCUAAGCUAUCUAGUAAGUGUGACCUUGAUAACUUAGAGUUGAAGUGGAGUGCAGAUUUCAAUGAAAAUCUUAGAAAGAAAGAAGUUGAGAAAGAAGUGUUGAACUCGCUUCAACCUCAUAAAGAUAUUAAAGAGCUUGCCAUCAAGUAUUAUGGUGGAAUAGAGUUCCCGGAUUGGGUGGAAGAUGAUUCAUUCAUAUAUUUGCAAGUUUUAAGACUUGAAUAUUGUGAAAAUUGCACAUUCUUACCAGGAGUUGGAAAAUUACCACUUUUAAAACAUCUUUAUGUCAAGGGGAUGAGAAGUGUGAUUAGUGUUGGCAAUGAGUUUCAUGGAGUGAAUGGGCCAAAUGUAUUUCCAUCAUUAGAGACCUUGUACUUUGAAGAUAUGCCAGAAUGGAAAGAAUGGAAACUUUAUGAAGUUGACGAACAAGGUAAGCAAUUUUGUUGCCUUCGAGAACUCUUUAUUGAAAAUUGUCCAAAAUUAGAAAAAACUUUGCCUGAUCAGCUUUAUUCUUUGGAGAAACUUGUAAUUCGUAAGUGCCAAGAAUUGGUAGUUUCAGUUUCGAAUCUUCCGAUGCUAUGUGAACUUGAUAUUUAUGGAUGCAAAGAAGUAGUGCUUGGGAGUUAUGAUGAUCUAUGGUCAGUUAAAAAAAUCAGUCUUUCAAACAUUUCAAAGUUUGCAUGUGUAACAAAAGAAAUGAAGAUGGUAGAGUCGAUGAAAGUAGAAGUUCUCGAAAUUAAUAGUUGUGAGGAGCUGACGUCUUUGUGGCAAACAAAGUGGGGGUGGUUGGCGCCUUUGAGAUCUCUUCGUACUUUAAAGUUUGAAAAUUGUACGCAAGUUGUGUGUAUAGGAGGAGGGGCAAAGGAGGAGGCAAAAGAAGAGCUUUUGCAAUUAGAAAUACCGUGCAACAUUGAAUUUGUGAGAUUAGCAUAUUAUCAAGGGUUAGAGAGAUUAUCGAAGACCUUUCACAACCUUACAUGUCUUACACUGUUAUGGAUUGAAAAGUGCCCGAAAUUGGUUUCACUUUCAACGGACAACUUGCCUCCAACUCUUAGGACUUUGAUCAUUUGGAGUUGUGAGAAUUUGGAAUGUUUACUGGAUGACAAGGAGAAUAUCAAUUUCAGUAGCACAUCUCUUCUUCAAUCUCUUGAUAUUAGAGACUGUAAAGCUCUAAAAUCAUUAUCAUGGAGUGGUAAGUUACCCGUGCAACUUAAGAGGUUGCUUAUUUCGGGCUGUCCAGAGCUUGAAUGUUUAGCACGGGAAAUUGGGGAUAAUACUUGUCUUGAAUCUAUUGAACUCUCCAAUUGUGGUAAUAUUACAUAUUUACCCCAAGGACUGGACAAGCUCAGCCGUCUUCAAGAGAUUUCUUUAAGGGGUUGUCUAAAUCUUGUCCGUCUCCCAGAAGCUCUGCCCAACCUCCACCAUCUUCAAGAAUUGAUUAUAGAUGAAUGUCCAAGGGUGCAAAAUUCCAUCGGAGAAAGGGGUUUCCCUACCAACCUAACUUCCCUUUCGAUUAUUGAACCCAAUAUUAGUAAGGCAGUAAUGGAAUGGGGAUUGCAUAGACUCACCUCUCUUACAUAUCUUAACAUUGAUGGUAGUAAUUGCACAGAUGCGACGUCGUUUCCUCAGGAGGAGAUAGGAAUGAAGCUGCCCCCUUCUCUCACCAAUCUUACUCUCAGAAAUUUCAAAAAUGUAAGAAAGCUAUCCUCCAACGGCUUUCAAAACCUCACCUCUCUUCAAUCUUUGUGGAUCAUCAAUUGCCCAAAGCUCAAAUCCAUUCCCCGAAAGGAAAUGCUUCCCUCGCUUUUGCGACUUUAUAUUUGGGAAUGUCCGGUGCUAAAGAAAAGGUGCAAAAGGGACGAAGGAAAACAAUGGUCCAACAUCGCCCACAUAC
rnacentral:lncRNA from 1 species